CUCAAUCAAUGCUUUGUCUUCUCUCCCUCUCUCCUCUCGCACGUUCAUUUCUUUUCUUUUCUUUGUGGCCGUCGCUUUCCCUUCUGUUCUUAUCCCUUAGCUGGCCAAUAUUGACUUUGAUUUCUCCCUUGUCCCCUUCUCUCUUGCGCCACCGCCUCAGCCGAACAGCUCAGCUGCUACCCUCCUUCGGCUUCUCUCUCAAUCUUUUCUCUUCUAUUUCUAUUUCCUUUUGUUCCCUCUCCCUUCGAGCGAACCGAAGCACCAUCUUCUGUCUUCUUCUUUCCCCCACCGAGGCCUCACGCCAAUUGCAGCACCACGUCCGAACCCCCAUCUUCUUCAGUCAACCAACAAAGCUUAUUUGACCCCAAAGCCCCACCAUUUGGACGCCGCCUCACCUGCGAAGCCGAAUCCAGCGCCUGCAAGCCCACGCUUCAAGCAGCCCAUCGAAGACCGAAGCAGCCGUGUCUUUUCUUUCCUUCGUCCGAGCCUUCACCUUCUUCGAUCCACGCCCAGCAAACGCUGAGCUUGCUGCCCUCUCCUCCACGCGGCCAAGAAUCGAGCCGCUCCUUUAUUGGCCCAUCUCCGCAAGCCCAGCCUCGGCGUUGAUUCCAUCUUCGUCCAGCAACAAAUCGAAGACAGCCCAAUUUCGCUAAGUGCAGCAGCUCGAACAGCAAGUUUGUUGGCCGUUUUCAGCCGAUAUGAGUGUCCCUCGGUCUCGCCGUGAGUUCAAGUCUCGGCUGCCGUUGCGCUGCCGUCGCUGUGAGCUGAUUUUGGGGUUUAAAUGGUGAGUCGCGUUCUAAUCCUUUAUUAGUGUGCUAAUGACACUUAGAGGUGUGUUAGUUAGCUAAUUGGUGGAUUAGUUAUGUUAAUUAGGUUUAGGAUGGCUUAGUUAGAUUAAGUAUAUAGUUAGUAGUUAGUUGGUUUAUUUAGUUUAGUUAGAUGUAUUAGUUAGGAAUUAGUUAGUUUAUUUAGUUAGUGUACUUAGAUUAAAUUAUAUAGGAUGUUUAGAUUUAAUUGUUAAUUAGAUUAUUUAGUUUAGUUAGUUUAGGUUAAUUUAAUUAAAUUCUUUAAAUUUAUUUAUUUUGUAAUUUAUUUAAUUAUUAAUUAUUUUCCGGAAAUUAGGCCGGGAUAGCCGGUGACCGAAAUUUCGUGCUGAUUGUAAUGGCGUGUUCAAUUUAUGCAAUUGAGUGUUAAUUUAUGUAAAUUGAGUGCUGAUUGAAAUUUUGAGUAUUUAAUUCCAAAAAUUGUGAAAUUCAUUAUUUAUUUAGAAAAUCCCAGGUAUCGGGUUUUAACACCAAAAAUGGUUUUAUGUAAUAUAUAGACUAGUGGGAUUUUAAAUUGGAGGAUAUCAAUUUUUUGAGUGUGAAUUGACCGUGUACCUACAUAUGACUAUUUUAUCGUGUAUUUCUAAUACGAAGAAAAUAGGCCAGGUUCACUAUUUUAACUGAGACAUUUGAGAGCAAUGCACAGUGUCCUGGGCCGAGAUUGAUUGGUCGUGUGUUGAUUAAGAGAAAUCGUCUUGGGCUGUUAAGCCGGAUGUUACCCAUUCAUUGGGACUUGGGUCGCAGCAGAUUCUGGACUUACGUCCCUUCGGGGAAGCCGUCUAAUUGAGAGACGUUACCAUGCUCAAAGGAGGUGAGACGACCCCUAGCAAUGCCAAAAGACCGCCAAAUUUAGAGUUGACCGUACCCUUGAGGGGUGUAAUUAACAAUUGGAACGCAUGAUUGUUGAGUUUGAUGCACCCGAUUAUGAGACCAAAACUGUGUGACAUGGAAUGGGACAAUGUCAUAACGGUUUGACCUUAUAAUUAGGACCCCGGUGAUUAAUUGAAUUGAUGAGGUGUUCCAGUUGUUAUGUGCAUUGAUUAUAUGUAUUGCAAUAUGAACUAUACUGACGUGCAUGAAAGGAAACUGAGGCGAGGUAAGUCCUCUGUGUCAAUUGAGUGGUUGUGUGGUUAUGACACUUCUGGGUGUAUUUCCCUCAUAAUCGGGGCUUAGACUGUGAACUUGCUGAGAUUUAUAUCUCACAUUGUCGUGAGCUUAAAAUUUUCAGGGUCGUAGAGGGAGGACCUGGAGCUAAGCUGAGGUGACCUGAAGAAUAGGUCAGAUAGGACAACCUCUUUUUUAGAACUAGUCUUUUGGUUAUAGACUUGUGUAAAAGAUUCAGUAUGUUUAUAAAAGUGUGGUUUGUUUGUGAAUGUGAUGUCCUGCUUUUCUAUCCCGAGAUAGUUAUUGUUAGGGGAUUUAUUAUUUGCUUCCGCAUGUGCAAUAAAAGAAAAGGGUCGGCGACUCGUUUUGGG
rnacentral:lncRNA from 1 species